rnacentral:rRNA from 1 species
UACGUAGGUGGCAAGCGUUGUCCGGAUUUACUGGGCGUAAAGAGCGCGCAGGCGGUCGUUCAAGUCGCGUGUGAAAGCCCCCGGCUCAACUGGGGAGGGUCACGCGAUACUGAUCGACUCGAAGGCAGGAGAGGGUAGUGGAAUUCCCGGUGUAGUGGUGAAAUGCGUAGAUAUCGGGAGGAACACCAGUGGCGAAGGCGACUACCUGGCCUGUUACUGACGCUGAGGCGCGAAAGCGUGGGGAGCAAACAGG